UAACAACUGAAAGGAGGUGAUCCAGUGUCUCAUUGUCAUCAACCGCUGGUGCAAGGCGGCCGGACCUGGACUUCUCUUGGCUGGGGUUCUCUGUCCGCGUGAGUUUUCGCACCUUUGAUCCGGUUCGCUGGAUCGCGGUUCGACAAUGGAAGGGCCGUCCGCAAGGGCGGCCCU
rfam:Bosea sp. TND4EK4 genome assembly, contig: Ga0136738_101